rnacentral:rRNA from 1 species
UACGAAGGGGGCUAGCGUUGCUCGGAAUGACUGGGCGUAAAGGGCGCGUAGGCGGUUUGUACAGUCAGAUGUGAAAUUCCCGGGCUCAACCUGGGGGCUGCAUUUGAUACGUGCGGACUUGAGUGGGGAAGAGGGUCGUGGAAUUCCCAGUGUAGAGGUGAAAUUCGUAGAUAUUGGGAAGAACACCGGUGGCGAAGGCGGCGACCUGGUCCUUGACUGACGCUGAGACACGAAAGCCAGGGGAGCAAACGGG